rnacentral:rRNA from 1 species
AGCGAACGCUGGCGGCAGGCUUAACACAUGCAAGUCGAACGCCAUCUUCGGAUGGAGUGGCAGACGGGUGAGUAACGCGUGGAAACAUACCUUUUGCUUCGGAAUAUUCCCGGGAAACUGGGAGCAAUACCGAAUACGCCCUGAGGGGGAAAGAUUUAUCGGCAAAAGAUUGGUCCGCGUUAGAUUAGGUAGUUGGUAGGGUAAUGGCCUACCAAGCCUACGAUCUAUAGCUGGUCUGAGAGGAUGAUCAGCCACAUUGGGACUGAGACACGGCCCAAACUCCUACGGGAGGCAGCAGUGGGGAAUAUUGGACAAUGGGCGAAAGCCUGAUCCAGCCAUGCCGCGUGAAUGAUGAAGGCCUUAGGGUUGUAAAAUUCUUUCACCGGGGACGAUAAUGACGGUACCCGGAGAAGAAGCCCCGGCUAACUUCGUGCCAGCAGCCGCGGUAA